rnacentral:rRNA from 1 species
GUCUACAGCCAUGCCACCCCGAACAAGCCCAAUGUCUGAUUUCAGAAGCUAAGAGGGUCGGGCCUGGUUAGCACUUGAAUGGGAGACCACCAAGGAAGACCAGGUGCUGUAGGCA